AGCGAAUCCUGCCUGCCUGCACUGUGGAUCUGGCUAUAGCUGCAUUUCUACAUCUGUUGGGUUCAUAUAUGAUCUAUGUUCAACAAAUAGCUCGUUCUGUAUCUGGGCCUGGAUCUUAAAUGUGUGUGUUAACUCAAGGAGGCCUCAUUCCAGCUGGCGAUGGUGUGUGGAUUGUCAAAUGCAGAAUUUCAUCUGAACUGGGACUAACAUGAUCUGAAGCACAUUUACAUUGAUGCUGGAAGACUGGAGUCACAACAGCUAAAUUGAAAGAUUGUUUCAUGAUGGAUUAUACAAGACACUGUUUUUCUAAAAAAAAAAAAUGUUUUCUAUCACAUGAAGGCCAGAGAUCACAUAACUUCUGUUCAGGAUCAUCCAUCAAGCUGACUUACUCUCACCAAAAGGCUAAAUUGCCAAAAAAUGGAGUGUCAGAAAGGACUUCACCAUUUGGGAUUAUGUGUAAUGCUUACCAUAACCCAAUGACUCUGAAGAUGGCUGGGUGCCCUGCACCUCAGGCUGAGAUCUAGUUUUAUUGAAAUCAAGUAUAAGACAUCAGAAUGAAUGCACCAAAUCCAACAAACAGUUGUUUAAUGACAUUUCAGAAUAGAAACUUCUUUUAGGUGCUUUUUGGGAUAAAUAAAAUCUAGGAACCCAAUUUUCAGGGUACUUGAAUUCAGUUGAAUGAAGACAUUGACAAGGAUAGCCAUCUAUCUAACAGCCUGUGGAUGAGGUCAAAGGAAAGAGGGAAGAAAGGAGAAAGGGGAGAAGGAAAGAACUUGAGGCUUUGAUGACCGUUGGAAUGCAGAGAAGCUAUGAGAAAAGAGCUCACAAGAGAAAAAUGUCAGCAUUGCAAAGUGGAAGAACACUGAAGGGAUUAAACAGCAUUCUAGAAAACAAGACAGACCAUGAAGAGUAUGGGAAGAAACAGGAAGGCCUAUUUCCCGGUACCAGACCCAGAAGCUGUAUAAUAGGACAUGAAGGAAGAAGUGUCCAUGGGAAUGAUCUAGAACUCAGCUGAGGGUUUGGUAACUUCUGUGGAGAGCCUCAUCUAUCAUCCAGGCAGACAAAGCUGACUGACAACUUGCAGGCUGAGGUGCUCUCUGUGUCAUGACAUGUCAGAUUUGGGAAAUGAGUGAAGCAGG